rnacentral:rRNA from 1 species
AGAGUUUGAUCCUGGCUCAGAACGAACGCUGGCGGCAGGCUUAACACAUGCAAGUUGAACGGGAUUUGUAUGGUGCUUGCACCAUGUAAUGAGAGUAGCGCACUGGUGAGUAACACGUGGGAACAUACCUUGAAGUGGGGGACAACAGUUGGAAACGACUGCUAAUACCGCAUAAUCCCUGAGGGGGAAAGAUUUAUCGCUUUAAGAUUGGCCCGCGGAAGAUUAGGUAGUUGGUGGGGUAACGGCCUACCAAGCCGACGAUCUAUAGCUGGUCUGAGAGGACGAACAGCCACAUUGGAACUGAGACACGGUCCAGACUCCUACGGGAGGCAGCAGUGAGGAAUAUUGGGCAAUGGAGGAAACUCUGACCCAGCCAUGCCGCGUGAGUGAAGAAGGUUUUCGAAUUGUAAAGCUCUUUCGGAUGGGACGAUGAUGACGGUACCAUCUAAAGAAGCCCCGGCAAACUUCGUGCCAGCAGCCGCGGUAAUACGAAGGGGGCAAGCGUUGUUCGGAAUUACUGGGCGUAAAGGGUGUGUAGGCGGAUUUGUAAGAUAGUGGUGAAAUACCUGAGCUCAACUUAGGAAUUGCCAUUAUAACUAUAGAUCUGGAGUGACAGAGAGGAUAUUGGAAUACCCAGUGUAGAGGUGAAAUUCGUAGAUAUUGGGUAGAACACCAGUGGCGAAGGCGAGUAUCUGGCUGUCAACUGACGCUGAGGCACGAAAGCAUGGGGAUCAAACAGGAUUAGAUACCCUGGUAGUCCAUGCUGUAAACGAUGAAUGCUAGUUGUCGGCAAAAGCCGGUGACGCAGUUAACGCGAUAAGCAUUCCGCCUGGGGAGUACGGUCGCAAGAUUAAAACUCAAAGGAAUUGACGGGGACCCGCACAAGCGGUGGAGCAUGUGGUUUAAUUCGAAGCAACGCGAAGAACCUUACCAAGUCUUGACAUCCCGGUGACCGGACAGUAAUGUGUCCUUUUCUUCGGAACACCGGUGACAGGUGGUGCAUGGUUGUCGUCAGCUCGUGUCGUGAGAUGUUGGGUUAAGUCCCGCAACGAGCGCAACCCCUGCUACCAGUUGCCAUCAAGUAAAGUUGGGCACUCUGGUGGGACUGCCGGUGACAAGCCGGAGGAAGGUGGGGAUGACGUCAAGUCAUCAUGGCUCUUACGAGUUGGGCUACACACGUGCUACAAUGGCAACUACAGAGAGGAGCUAAGUCGUGAGGCUGCGCCAAUCUUAAAAAGUUGUCUCAGUUCGGAUUGUUCUCUGCAACUCGAGAACAUGAAGUUGGAAUCGCUAGUAAUCGCGGAACAGCAUGCCGCGGUGAAUACGUUCCCGGGUCUUGUACACACCGCCCGUCACGCCAUGGGAGUUGGUUCUGCCUGACGGCGUUGAGGUAACCUGAGCAAUCAGGAGCCUGGCGACCACGGUAGGGUCAGCGACUGGGGCGAAGUCGUAACAAGGUAGCCGUAGGGGAACCUGCGGCUG